GACGAACGCUGGCGGCGUGCUUAACACAUGCAAGUCGAACGGAAAGGCCCUUUGCUUGCAAGGGGUACUCGAGUGGCGAACGGGUGAGUAACACGUGGGUGAUCUGCCUUGCACUUCCGGAUAAGCCUGGGAAACUGGGUCUAAUACCGGAUAGGACCAUGCUUUAGUGUGUGUGGUGGAAAGUUUUUUCGGUGCAAGAUGAGCCCGCGGCCUAUCAGCUUGUUGGUGGGGUAAUGGCCUACCAAGGCGACUACGGGUAGCCGGCCUGAGAGGGUGUACGGCCACAUUGGGACUGAUACACCGCCCACACUCCUACGGGAGGCAGCACUGGGGAAUAUUGCACAAUGGGCGCACGCCUGAUGCACCGACUCCCCGCGGGGGAUGACGGCCUUCCGGUUGCAAACUCCUUUCUCCUCGGAACAAGCCACUGUGCGGCGACGGCCCCUGCAUAAGAAGCACCGCCUAACUACGUGUCAGCAUCCGCCGUACUACCUAACGCGCGAGCGUUGUCCCUAAUUACUGGAGCUACAGAGCUCGAAUGUGGUUUGUCGCGUCGUCUGUGAAUCCCGGGGCUUAACUUCGGGCGUGCAGGCGAUACGGGCAUAACUAGAGUGCUGUAGGGGAGACUGGAAUUCCUGGUGUAGCGGUGAAAUGCGCAGAUAUCAGGAGGAACACCGAUGGCGAAGGCAGGUCUCUGGGCAGUUACUGACGCUGAGGAGCGAAAGCAUGGGUAGCGAACAGGAUUAGAUACCCUGGUAGUCCAUGCCGUAAACGGUGGGCGCUAGGUGUGGGGGUUUUAUUUACGAUUCCCGUGCCGUAGCUAACGCAUUAAGCGCCCCGCCUGGGGAGUACGGCCGCAAGGCUAAAACUCAAAGGAAUUGACGGGGGCCCGCACAAGCGGCGGAGCAUGUGGAUUAAUUCGAUGCAACGCGAAGAACCUUACCUGGGCUUGACAUACACCGGAUCGCUGCAGAGAUGUAGUUUCCCUUGUGGCUGGUGUACAGGUGGUGCAUGGUUGUCGUCAGCUCGUGUCGUGAGAUGUUGGGUUAAGUCCCGCAACGAGCGCAACCCUUGUCUUGUGUUGCCAGCACGUUACGGUGGGGACUCGCGAGAGACUGCCGGGGUUAACUCGGAGGAAGGUGGGGAUGACGUCAAAUCAUCAUGCCCCUUAUGUCCAGGGCUUCACACAUGCUACAAUGGUCGGUACAGUGGGUUGCGAUACCGUGAGGUGGAGCUAAUCCCUUAAAGCCGGUCUCAGUUCGGAUUGGAGUCUGCAACUCGACUCCAUGAAGUCGGAGUCGCUAGUAAUCGCAGAUCAGCAACGCUGCGGUGAAUACGUUCCCGGGCCU
rnacentral:rRNA from 1 species